GCACUGCCGAGGAGUCCCACAAUAGGACGAAACGCUCGUUUAGUGC
rnacentral:hammerhead_ribozyme from 1 species